rnacentral:rRNA from 1 species
UACGAAGGGGGCUAGCGUUGCUCGGAAUCACUGGGCGUAAAGCGCACGUAGGUGGGUCGCUAAGUCGGGGGUGAAAUCCUGGAGCUCAACUCCAGAACUGCCUUCGAUACUGGGAAUCUUGAGUCCGGAAGAGGUGAGUGGAACUGCGAGUGUAGAGGUGAAAUUCGUAGAUAUUCGCAAGAACACCAGUGGCGAAGGCGGCUCACUGGUCCGGUACUGACGCUGAGGUGCGAAAGCGUGGGGAGCAACA